rnacentral:lncRNA from 1 species
AGAGAGUGACCUCAGAUGACUGAGAUGGAUAAAGCCAGCGAUGGUGACACAUGAAAGAUUAUACACUUUGCUAGGGCAGAGACUGUUAGAUUUAUUUCUGAAGCCCUGGGAGCCAGGGCCUGAUGCAGUGCAGAUGCUUGGUGAACAUUUGUGGAGCAAAUGAACGAACUCACAGAACAGCUUUUGAACAGCUUUGCCACAAAGUAUGUACAAAGUCAUUUCUCUAUAAUAUGCUUCAAAAACUACAUGUUCUCCUGCAAUUGGGGAUUUUCUGGUUGUUCUUUUUUGGCUUUCUGCUGGCUCAUUUCUCAGAGCAGCUGGAGAAGGCUCCAUUUCCCUAGGGUCUAGAUCAUUUCCUAUAACAUUGGUGCUUGGGCUACUGUGGGUCCAGGUUCUCUGGGAAAACUGUGGU